UCAAACAUAUUUUUUUAACAGGACCUCAUUUUAAUCCUAAUAAUAAGUCACAUGAAGUACCGGCGGAUGAUGACAUGACAUGUGGGUGACCGGCGAAGCAUACAAGCCAACAAAGAUGGCAUUGCAGAAGUUUGAUGAAGGACUUAUAGGUUCCGUUGGCUUGAAGGAUAAUAUAUCAUUUGACCAUCUUGGUAUAAUAAUUGUUGUAUUGGUAUUCGUUUCUCUUCUUGCAUGAAGAUUUCAUUAAGCUGACCUCACUCCAUACUGGGAAGGACAGUUCUUGUUCAUGAUGAUUCUAAUGAUCUAGGAAAGGGUAAGGGUGGUUCCAUCUCGCCUCCAAUCCACCGUCGUCCCUACAGAAGGUGUUUUUUUUUCUUGAUGCGCUAUGUUUAUUUAUACCCUGAUUUCUUUUUGGCCCCUCUAAAUAAACUUACAGCAGUGGGCUUAGUUCUGCAUGCAAUUGAUGGUGCGGGUGAUUCUUCUUAGAUCCUAAAAACAUCUCUGUAUAAAGUGGCUGCUAAUCUUGUGCCCGGAAUUGUGAUUUCCAAAAAACAUGUUGUUUUUACUGUGUUAAUUUUUAUAGUUGUUCAAGAAUCAAGAUGAGUUAUUUGCUACAUCAAAGAUUGUGAUGUCAUUGGGCACCAACGGAGGCGGACUGCAUCGAGGCGGGCUGUGUGCCGCUGCUCGAUGCCUAGAAAUCAAUUCGGCUGCGUUCAGGCAAAAUGGCUUCCAUUCAAGCUAGCUUUCCGAGGAAGC